GGCUGGUCCGAUGGCAGUGGGUUAUCAGAACUUCUUAACAUUAGUGUCACUAAAGUUGGUAUACCACCCCCCACUGCUAAAUUUGACUGGCUUUAA
ensembl:misc_RNA Y_RNA Y RNA